UUCUUAUUAGUCACACUUUUACAACGAUUGUAAAACAUAGUUACUAAUACGGAAUCAAGUAUUCAAGUAGAAGAACCAACUAUUUUGAACUAUUGAAGAACAAUUUACAACACCUUCGAAAGGUGUGUUCUUGACACUUGCAAGAUUUUUCUUGCAAAUACCCCUUCCAAUGUCCAUUCUUUCAUAAAGAAAGUUUGUUCCCUUGGAGUUAAUUUUAUCUUCUUCAUUUGACUUCUCCUUUGACUAAAAUAGACAUGGUCCCUAAACUCCCACUAUCUCUCUUGAAACUUAUUUCAAUUGUGUUAUACACAUCAAACAUUUUGGAGAGCAUGUGUUUAUUGUUCACUAUAUACUUUACAAUAAACUUAGUGAACCAUUUGGAUAGGGACACUAAAGUGAAGUCCUUGCCUAGUUUCCGUCUCGUGAAGUGGUUUAACACUUCAACACUCAAUGAUUCAAAAUCAUCAUAAGUCCAUGUUAAUGGACUAUUUUUGUCAACCAACCAUUAUGUUCUAAACAUAAUUACAAACUUUCAAGAGUUGUACAAGGCAACUCUCAUUUCUUCAUACAACAAUUUGUAAGUGAAGAAUCAUGGCACAUAAAGUGUCCAUGCCCUUAUGCUUUCUUCUCAAGUUCUUUGUUCAUUUAACAAAGAAACAAGCACUAGUGUUUGCAUUAGCUAAGGGUUGUUCAAAGCAACUCUUAUUUCUUCAUACAACGAUUUGUAAGUGAACUAUGACAUUAAAAGUGUUGUCCUCCUUAUGAUAGACUUAUCUAACAUGUUCUUCCAAUGAUACAUUAUCAAUAGGAAGAUUGUGAGGAUUAGACUACUUGGGUACAUAUACAAUCCAUUUAAGACAAUCUUUGGGAUUGU
rnacentral:lncRNA from 1 species